rnacentral:rRNA from 1 species
UACGAAGGGGGCUAGCGUUGUUCGGAAUUACUGGGCGUAAAGCGCACGUAGGCGGGUUGUUAAGUCAGGGGUGAAAUCCCGGAGCUCAACUCCGGAACUGCCUUUGAUACUGGCAACCUAGAGGCUGGAAGAGGUUAGUGGAAUUCCCAGUGUAGAGGUGAAAUUCGUAGAUAUCUGAAGGAACAUCAGUGGCGAAAGCGACUUCCUGGACCAAUACUGACGCUCAUGUGCGAAAGCGUGGGGAGCAAACAGG